AGAUUGAACGCUGGCGGCAGGCCUAACACAUGCAAGUCGAGCGGUAGAGAGGUGCUUGCACCUCUUGAGAGCGGCGGACGGGUGAGUAAUGCCUAGGAAUCUGCCUAGUGGUGGGGGAUAACGUUCGGAAACGGACGCUAAUACCGCAUACGUCCUACGGGAGAAAGCGGGGACCUUCGGGCCUCGCGCCAUUAGAUGAGCCUAGGUCGGAUUAGCUAGUUGGUGAGGUAAUGGCUACACCAAGGCGACGAUACCGUAACUGGUCUGAGAGGAUGAUCAGUCACACGUGAACUGACGACACGGUCAGACCUCCGUACGGAGGCAGCAGGUGGGAAUAGUGGACAAGUGGGACGAAAGCUAGACUACC
rnacentral:rRNA from 1 species